UACAUAGGGGCCAAGCGUUGCCCGGAUUUAUUGGGCGUAAAGGGUGCGUAGGUGGCUGCAUAAGUCGAUUGUGAAAUCGCUCGGCUCAACCGGGCGGGGUCAGUCGAAACUGUGUGGCUUGAGGACGGUAGAGGAAAGUGGAAUUCCCGGUGUAGCGGUGAAAUGCGUAGAUAUCGGGGAGGAACACCAGUGGCGAAGGCGGCUUUCUGGGCCGUUCCUGACACUGAUGCACGAAAGCGUGGGGAGCAAACCGG
rnacentral:rRNA from 1 species